GCUUGUGGAGGCCACAGAGGAGCUGCGGCGUGAAAUUGGGGAGGCCACUGAGCACCUGACUCAGCUCGAGGCAGACCUGACAGAUGUGCAAGAUGAGAACUUCAAUGCCAACCAUGCACUAAGUGGUCUGGAGCGAGAUAGGCUUGCACUUAAUCUCACACUGCGGCAGCUCGACCAGCAUCUUGACUUGCUCAAACAUUCAAACUUCCUGGGUGCCUAUGACAGCAUCCGGCAUGCCCAUAGCCAGUCUGCAGAGGCAGAACGUCGUGCCAAUACCUCAGCCCUGGCAGUACCUAGCCCUGUGAGCAACUCGGCAAGUGCUCGGCAUCGGACAGAGGCACUGAUGGAUGCUCAGAAGGAGGACUUCAACAGCAAACACAUGGCCAACCAGCGGGCACUUGGCAAGCUCUCUGCCCAUACCCACACCCUGAGCCUGACAGACAUAAAUGAGCUGGUGAGGUUGAAGUGUUGGGUGGGGCAGGUGGGUGUAGAUGUUCCUCUCACAGGGCCCUGACUUGUUCUGUGCCUGGCAGGUGUGUGGGGCACCAGGGGAUGCACCCUGUGCUACAAGCCCUUGUGGGGGUGCCGGCUGUCGAGAUGAGGAUGGGCAGCCGCGCUGUGGGGGCCUCAGCUGCAAUGGGGCAGCGGCUACAGCAGACCUAGCACUGGGCCGGGCCCGGCACACACAGGCAGAGCUGCAGCGGGCACUGGCAGAAGGUGGUAGCAUCCUCAGCAGAGUGGCUGAGACUCGUCGGCAGGCAAGCGAGGCACAGCAGCGGGCCCAGGCAGCCCUGGACAAGGCUAAUGCUUCCAGGGGACAGGUGGAACAGGCCAACCAGGAACUUCAAGAACUUAUCCAGAGUGUGAAGGACUUCCUCAACCGUGAGCCUCCCACGUGUCCCAGGCCAUGUGGUUGUCCCCUUUGGCAACUCCCGGUGUCUGUAUCUCCCUUGGUUCAUACUUGAGCCUCAGGGACUACACUGGAUUAGUGUUUAUGAUCCCUUGACUGGCUCCUGAGUUAUUGCCCAUAUGUGGUCCCAGGUCCAUGUUCUUGAGUCUGAGCCCCUUGUAUAGUCCCUGUCCUUGUGAUUA
rnacentral:lncRNA from 1 species